rnacentral:rRNA from 1 species
GCUCGUGUUGUGAAAUGUUGGGUUAAGUCCCGCAACGAGCGCAACCCUUAUCCUUUGUUGCCAGCGGUUCGGCCGGGAACUCAAAGGAGACUGCCAGUGAUAAACUGGAGGAAGGUGGGGAUGACGUCAAGUCAUCAUGGCCCUUACGACCAGGGCUACACACGUGCUACAAUGGCAUAUACAAAGAGAAGCGACCUCGCGAGAGCAAGCGGACCUCAUAAAGUAUGUCGUAGUCCGGAUUGGAGUCUGCAACUCGACUCCAUGAAGUCGGAAUCGCUAGUAAUCGUAGAUCAGAAUGCUACGGUGAAUACGUUCCCGGGCCUUGUACACACCGCCCGUCACACCAUGGGAGUGGGUUGCAAAAGAAGUAGGUAGCUUAACCU